UUAUAAUUUUAUUAAUAUUUUUUUUAUUAAUUUUUUUUUAUUUUGUAGAAUUUCAAUAUUAUUUUUUUAUUUUAUUUUAUAUACAAUUUUUAUAUUUUUCUUAUUUUUAAAAUUUAAUUUAUUUUUGCUUUCAAAUUUUAUCAUAUUUUUGUUUUAAUUUGAUUAUCUUUUUAUUUUUAAAAAAUUUUAUUUUACGUACUGUCAUUUACAAGGCCGCUACGUUCUAUAUCAUACGUAUGUACAUACAUUUUGGGCGCCCCUUUAUUAAACAGAAAAUUAUAAUAAAUAAAUUAAUUAAAACUAUUUUUUGUUGCACAACAUUUCUUUUUAUCACGCGCUGAAUUUUGAACUAACGAUUCUAUAUUUAUAUGUGUUAAUAUGGCUUCAUAAUAUCGCUUAGUGUCGUUACAUUUUGUUGUGUUAUUUCUAAUUGAGCCAUACACAAUCUUUGUUAGUGUAGUGUGAACGAGUCAUAAGGGUUUUACCGUUGAUUAGUCGAAAACAGCUGGUUAAACGCAUCACUUGGUAAAAAUAUAAAUCAGCUUCGUAUUUUAUUUGAAAUAUGUGUGUAUAUAAAUUUUAAUUAAUAUUUUUUUAACUCUAUCAAUUCACAAUAAACAUAUUUAUUAUUUAGUAUAAUGCAACAAGUUAUUUUUCUAAUUUAUUACUCGCCACUCGCUCUGAAUAUGUAACUAAUUUAUAUAUUUUAUUAAAUAUCCCUAAUAUUUAAGUGUGUAACGCCAUGCUAAAGUUAUUUCAAGUAAACAGUAACAAUAAAUAUUUGUUGUAUGUAUUUUUUAAGUUUAAUGUACUCUUGGUUUUUUCUGUUUUAAUUGUUGUAAAUUGUAAAUGCUUUUGGAAUUAAAUUUUUUUAAUAACAAUUUUUAGUUCAUAUUCACUUUUUUAUGUUUUUUUUAAUUUUUUUUUUAAUUUUUUUGCCUUUGUUGUUUAAUUCUUUAUAUUCAUUUGCAAUAAUACUUAUGGUGGUGUUUUAAUCUUUUUAUUAAUUUUUAGAUUUCAUUUAAAAUGUUUUCAUUUUUAAAACAAAAGAGUAUUUUUAUUUUAUAUUUUUUACAAACAAUCAUUUAAUAAUAAAUUUAAUUUUUUAAUUUUUAAUAAUUUUAGAUUCGUAAUAAAUAUGUAAAUUUUUGGGAAAAAAUAUUUAUUUAAAACAAUAAUAUAAAAUAAUAUUUUUCGUUUAUUAUUAUUAUUUCUUUUUUGUUUUUAAUAUUGUGUUUUAACUAUGUACAUUUUUUUGGGUGAAAAAUAUUUAUUUAUACAUAUUUACAAAAAAUUAAAUUAUUUUAUCUUAAUUUGCAUUUUUAAUAUUUUUUGUUGUAAUAAUUAUAUCCUUUGAAGAAAUGCAACUCUUGUAUUUUUUAUAUUGAUACAUUUCUUAUUUACUCUUGCAGUGCAUAGUUGUUGUAAUUACGGUAAAGAAGCGUUAGUGCAAAAUUUUAGUUAUUUUUAGUUCGCUUUUAACAUACGAAGUACUCAUGCAAUUAUAAUUUUGUUAUAUUAAUUAAAAAAAUAAAUGAAAUAUUAGAAUUUAUUGAAUAUUUGAGCCUAAUUUCUACUAUUGAUAUUUUAGUAUUCAUAAUUUUGUAAAUUAACGGAAUUUUAUUUUUAGAAUACAUUGCGCAAAGGUAUUUGUAUAUACAUACCUAUGAAUAUGUAAAUACAUAUAAAAGUAUGUAUGUAUGUACAUGAAUACUAAGUAAAUCCUAUUAUGCAGGUCUGAGCAAACAAUAAAAUUACAUACUGUAGUUAACUAAUUUACACAUGUGUGUUUGUAAUUUAAUAACAACAACAAAUAAUAUUAGUACAUACUUUUAAUAACAAGCUAAUUUUAGUUCACUUGUUUGUGCAGCAAUAAAGUCCAUCAAAUUGAGUGCUUGCAUAUACAAAGUAAUAGUACAUAUCCUACAUACACAUGCCCAUUCACACACACACACACAUACGUGCAAGCAAGUAAGCACUUUUUGUUUGCAAUUAAAUUCGGUUUGAAGUCAAGUGCACAGGCAAGCAUAAAUCAAACAAUAUAUUGCACAUAUACACACAUACAUAAAGAAACCGAUAUUAUAUGUAUAUUGUACUUUGUAUUGUAUUGUUUUAAGAGAGAUUUAAUUGUUUAAACACUAUUUUACUUUUCAUAUUAAUUGAUUUGAUUAUUUUAUUUUGAUUUUUGUUAUUUAUAUAUACUUUUAAAAUUAUAUUACCUUCAUAUAAUACAUACAUAUGUUAUGUAAUGCAUACAAACAAACAAACAAAUACAUACAAAUGCAGUCGAAAUGGCGGGUGAGUUAAACGCAAGCGCCGUUAACUCUGCACGAAGGCGCUUUAGUUUAAUUGAUGAAAAGUGUAAAAGUGUAAUAAUCAUAGUUAUUAACAUUUUGUGAAAAUUAAAGUACGAAACUUAAAUAUAUGUGAUCGAUUAAUUA